CGGGACUAUGUCAACUUCCAGC
rnacentral:miRNA from 1 species